rnacentral:Y_RNA from 1 species
AGCUGGUCUGAAGGUAAUGAGUUAUCUCAAUUGAUUGUUCACAGUCAGUUACAGAUCGAACUCCUUGUUCUAUUCUUUCCCCCCUUCUCACUACUGCACUUGACUAGUCUUAA